GUUACCUUCCCAGAGGUUGUCUGAGGAUCAGCACACUCAACUCCAUUACACUCCUGCAGAAGUAUCACUGGAGACCUUCUCAAAGCAUCACUUGGCAGAAAACAAGAAAUGCGCUCACGUCUGCUGUCUUCCCUUUCAUCCUCCGCUGCAGCACCUCUUCAGAAAAUCAGGUUAGUGUAGGAGAGAAAAGAGGGAAGCAAGCAAGACCAAAAGAAGACUAAUCCUGGGAAAAAGACCUGAAGCUGCAUCUGGGCUCCCCACCACAGCCCCAUGGAGAGGCAUAGCCCCAUGUGUGUGAGACCCGGCUGCAGGGAUGCUCAGAGCCCAAUCUGCCUUGGAAGACAAGUCCCGGGAGCCAAGCGAUGGGAUAAAGAAGUCAGCCAGACAUGCUAUCCACCAGGAAGAGACGACUGCUGUUCCGGUGCCUUGUCAGAUGUUUGCACACCAGACCCGGCUCAGGAUAAUGGAAUGCGGAAACUCUAGUGUAGUAGAUUUGCCUUGCAACGGAGGUCCCAAAUCCUAUGGUUUUAUCACAGGUUUUGUGACAUACGGUGGCAUUUUGCUCCCAGGGCUCCAUGUCUCAGAUUUCUCUGAUUGCGUAAUAAACCAUCUUUUCACUUCCAGAAAAAAAACAAAGGAAAAUGUCAAUGUAAAAUUGUCUUCAAGAAAGGCUUUCCCUAGGGCUUUUCUGUGGGGUAAAUCAGUGACUAACUCAGGGAACAAUCUCCGUCAGCCUUCCACCCAGCAAUAUCUGAAAAGCUACAGGGUUUGGGGAGCGAAAAUACUACUUCAUUUCACAAGUCUCCUUUGCACUUUCUCAGCUGAAGACUCACGUGUGGCUGGGACUGGACAUGGGAGCUGAAGGCCGUUCCACUUUCAGGAUCUCCCUGCUGCAGCAUCUGGAUUCCUUUACGUCAAAGGCCCAUUGGGUUUGAAAAGCUUUGAGAAUGUUCCUAUUAGUCUUAGAUACCAGAAAACCUUGUUUUUCAAAAU